AUGGAUCACAACCCGGAGGUGCUUUGCUGGAAUGUGCCGGGACUCGAGAAUCCUGCAAACAGGAAGGCGGUUAGGGCAUUCGUGGAGGCGGUGAAAGUCAAUUUGGUGUGCUUCCAAGAGACUAAACUCCAUGUAAUCGAUCAAUAUGAUGUGAUGCAAUGUGUAGGACCAUCUUUUGAUGGGUUUUCUUACUUGUCGGUGGCGGACACUCGUGGUGGUGUGUUGUUGGCCUAG
rnacentral:rRNA from 1 species